AGUUGGAAAAUGACAUAACUUAUCUGAUGGAUAUUAGUUCAUUAGUUGAUAGCUCCAGGUCAAAUAGCUGUACUAAUAUCAGCAAACUGGAAACUGACCUAGAAGUAGCUGCCCUAAGCAUGAGAACCAGGAGGAAAUAUUCUGCAGAGUUUUUAUAUCAUAUUAAAGAUAAACCUUCGUCUAAAGAUCCUCCAGCUUGUCUUGACGCGCAGUUUUUUGACGACGGUGGCUUUUGGGAUCCUCAAAAGUGGGUAGCAUCUUUUGAACCGCCUUACAGAGUAAACAGCUGCCAGGAGGCUGCUUCCGGUAUUGAAACGUUCAAGAAUACGAUAAGUACCGAAGAUUCGCGUAUUACAAAGCUGCAAAACGAAGACUCCUUGGACAUAGUCUUGUCACCGCAAAGAAGAAGUUUUGGAGGAGGAUGCAAGGUAAACGAGGGGCAACAUGCUAAAACUGAUCGGCUGGAUAUCCCAGUUUUGAACAAACGCCAACCUAUCAGUUCGGCGCAAAACCCCAAUAGAAGAAACUUUGUUUCAAACAACAAUUCCAAUGCCCCAAAUAGAACAAAACACAACAGAGGCAGUGGCCCAUUCAAUACUGACCCAGAAAUCCAAGUUGCAAAUCCGAGAAACUUGGACAGAGCGAACUACCACCACAACAGUGACUCAAAGUCCUCAAACUACAACAGAUUUACCAAGCACGCUCUUGAAAGUGCCUCGCUUCUAGGAUCCUCAAACGAACACUCCCAUCAUCAUCCUCAUCACCACCACAACAAUAACACCAGAAGAUUUGAGAGCCGAAAGUCGAAGAAUGAACGGGAGGUGGACUUCGCAACUGCACGUCAAGCCCCACAGCCAGUCACUGGAAUUCGGAAGUGUAGCGAAGGAUCCGAUGACUUCCAAGCUGCAAUCGAAGUUCCGCGGUCGCCGACUGGAAGCGAUAUUGACGAGAACUUGUGGCUGGACGUUGAGCCAGGGGCUGAUUUCGAGUUCCACAAUGAUUUGGAAUCUAUGAAAAUGGAUUUUAACAACGAAAUAGAUGACCUAAACAACGAACAGAUUCAAAAUGAACUGCUUGCGGUGGGCGGUAGAGAAAUUUCAAGGAAGGCUGCACCUGCCGCUGAACGACAACCGGUAAUCAAUUAUGCGAAUACAGGUGAUGCGAUAAAGCAGGGGGCGGAAAAAGAUUUCGAUUUGAAUAAGUUUAUGGAGAAUGGUAGCUCUGUAACUGUGCCCAGAAGUACAACUACUCAAGGAAGCAGACUUCAGCGACUCUUCAACACUUCAGCUGACCAGAAUCGUAAUUUGGGAGCGGAGUAUGACAGAUACUUGCAAAGUUUUGAAUUUGACCCUGAAACAAAUGAUUUGAGAAGAUACAUUCAGCCUAUUGAUCCUCCGACGCCACAAACGAACAAUCAUUUUCAGCCCAAUGGAAUGAAUUUCAACGGAGAUCUUAGUUAUAAAACUCAGCAAGAGAUUGAUAAGCAGCAAAACCAACAGAUGAUUAACAAUCAGCAACAUCAACAGAUGUUGAACAAUCAGCAGCAGAAACAGCAACCUCAAACUGCACCAAGGUCUAGAUUCGCUCACUGGUUUGUUUCGGACGUGAAUCAAAACAACCUUCCUCCGAGCAGCAACCUGCUUCGAGACGAUAAUCAGAAAAACAACAUGCAAGCGCCCCUGAAUGUCAAAACCACCGAGGCAAAGGUUCAAGUGUUGUCGCUUGCGGACAUUGAAUCAGAUGUAAGCCCAGUUCCUCACGGGGGUCAAAGUGCAGCGCUGUCAGCGAAUAUGCAAGCUAAUUUGAGCAAGCCCAAUGUCAUUUCAGCCGAUGCUCUUGAGCGAGAUCUUUUAGCCCAAUCGCCGCCUAAAAGCAAAGACAAUGACUUGUCUGCGUUUACGUCUCUUUUGAAUCAGUUAGGGGGUGGAAAGAAUGUACCAGCUGGUGACAUAAACGAGGGCACAAGCAAUGAAAUGGUCAAUCGGCCAGUAUAUUCCCCGGGACCAGAAAUUAUUCAAGAUCAAAAGAAAGGAUCGGACCCACUCUACGCACGUAGAAUAACUGGCCAUAAUGUCAACAAUUAUCAAAAUAUGCCAAGCAAACAGGUGGAUCGAAAUACUGGGAGACAGAAUAUGUUACCAGAAGUUGCGACGCUGAAUCAGCAGGAAAGUAAUCGAUCAAGUCGAGAAGCGCAUUUGAACGAAUAUGAGAAAGCUACUAGAGAGCACAGACAAAUUCAACAGGCAAACAGCCGAAAUCAAGUUAACAUGAACGAGAUGUACAUCAAUGAGACUAACAAUUCCUUGCAACAGCAGACCUCGAACUUGCCUCCAAAUUUGGAAGUGUUCAAACGGCAAAUCGCGCUGCAGCAGCACAUAAAUCAACAACGACAGCAACAGCAGCAAAACCUACAGCAGCAAGAACUGUUGCGAAAUGCAGUUCAACAAGGUUCAAGUGCUGUGGGUGGUCCGAUUGGUAACAAGCAACGAGGGGGACCCUCGGACAUUUUUACUCCAACUGCCGUAAUGAGAAACUUGUCAAUGGAUAACCCCGCCUCUUCUGCUCAGACUGCAAGUACUUCUAAUUCCUAUGGGUUACAAUCGAAGCAUGCUGUAAAUUUAUCCAAUUUCUUACAGGCUAACCAGGAUCCGCGAGUGCGUGACAUGAUUUUCAAGAUGAACCAAGAGACUUUCGCAAGAUUGGGAAUGCCUUUGUCGAACACUUCGAACACUACCCAAGCACUUCAAAGUGCACAACUGUCAACUUCGGUAGCACAGAAUACCCGAAAUGUGCCUAAAUCGGUAAAUCCGGCUGGAACCAUAGGAUCGAACAAUGCACUGGGAAACACGAACCUGGCUGCCGCAUCAGUGGCCUCUUCUCAGCCAGCAUCGACUUCAGCUCAAAUGGCUAAUGUUCCCAUUGUCGGUCCACCGAUAGUUAGCCCUUGGUUGAUAAAUUCGAUGAUGCGCCCUGCUGCACAGCCACUUGUGGUUCCCCAAAACCCUUCGCCCCAGCUUGCGCAACAAGCGAUUCAAAGUAUUUUGGUCCGUCAGCAGAUAGCGGCGGCUCUGAUGCUGAACGGCAGGCCUCCGGUCCAGUUUCGACCCAUGAAUGCCCCGGCUCAAGUGAACCCUAUUGGUUCUCAGAACUCGAAUGCGGCAAAUUUGAAUUCCUCUAACAAGAACGGGAAUCUUAAUAACUUGUCAAACGGAGUAGCAACGAGUGCGAGUAUGUUUCAGCAGAUGAACCCAACAACCGAGCAGCUGCUGAACUCCCUGGGACUCGGAUCCUCAGGAGGAGGUUUGAGCGCCCCAAAUCAAAACCCGAUGAAUGGCCUGAACUUGAAUCGCAAUUUGCCCAGUCCGAUGUUUGACCCGAUUCCGGGUUCGAGGGUCAAGGACAAUUCAAAAUGAUGCCAUGAACAUCGUCAGCUUUAAAAAUCGGCUUAGCGCGCGACCGGCCAUUUCCGGUUGUCAUAAUGUGAUUACGCAAUUAGCCUCCUGCUAACCUAAAUCCCAGCAUACGCAAAGCGAUAGAGUGUUUAGAUGUCAAAAGAUGUUAAUUUUGUACAAAAUUGUGAACGUUUAUUUUUCCGAUUAUUUGGUUAUUUGCUGAUAUCAUGGUUGUCUUGGCGUUCCCCCUUUCAUCAUUUAUACUCCCGUUAUUUAUUCGCCAUGGUUCUCUUGUUUUUUUUUCAAAUGCCGUUUACUAUGAACUGCUACCUCUAAUAGUUGUAGUGCCUGUUGUUAUUCCAUUUAUUCAUUCACCCUAUGUUACUUUACUUCAUACGUUGUUUCAUUAAUUUAGUCAUCAUUUUUCGCCUUUUUCAUUACAUAUUUUUCUUCUGCAUGGCUAGGGUUUCUGCCAAGUUUGCGAUCAGCCCGGUCCCCAAAAUUUCGACAGGAUGAAGUUUCGAACCUUCAAUGUCGACAAGUGUAAAAUAGUUUUGUAGAUAUUCGAUGACUCGAGGCUGACGGCAGAUUAGAACCCAGCGUAGUUGACUUGUGAUUCCCUUAUCAAUUGGAUAGAAUUAUUACGAGAACGUCUCUUCGACUAUUUUCUCCGAUUUUACGCAACUUGACAACAUUCUCAUCUGAAGCGGGAUCCAUUUUUGUGUCCUAGACAGAUAUUAUCAUGAGUUGUCUCCUGAGUGGGGAUAAUUUCUCACUGUGCAUCGAGUUUAAAGUCGCCGUCGGAAGCAUUUACCCGAUUCUCUAAAACGCUGUCACGUCGUUUUUGACAAAUUAGCGAUUUUUGCGUUACUGAUUUCUUGUUGCGAAAGAAACGCCCUCCUGAUAUUCCAUCGACUGAGAAGACGCGAAAAAAAAACAAGGAGAAAACAGUAUCAAAAAUUGAACUCGUAACUCGAAAUAUAUAUUUUUUUGAAGUUGAAAAACUGAGCUUAACAAUUUCAGUAAUUGAACAUUAGUUGCUGUAUUGUUUUCAUUUUAUUUACCUUUUAAAAAUGCUGCGGGUAAAGUUGAUAUUAAUUUGAACGUUUGUUACUAUGGAUUCAAUCAGUUUGUUUUUUUUUGUGUUUUUUGGUUCAAUUUGACAUAUUUACCCGCUCUCAUUUUUCCUUGUGUGUUUGUAGCACACCUAUUAUUAUGUUUGAUGAUGUGAUUUGUGAUUAUUACUUAUGUUUCUUCAAAAAUGGUGCUAUCUUCAUAUAUCUUUCCUCUCAUUUCGUCUCAUCGUCUGACCUUUCGUUAGCUCUCUAAACCAACUGUAACAGCUCAGUAAAAAAUACUCACUUCGCCAAGAACACAAGUAACUGCAGUUUCCAUUAGAUUUAUCACUUUGGGCCCCUUUUCCUAUCCCUCCUCGUCCCCUCCCCUUCCAUUGAAAACACCUAUAAUUUUCGUUUAAAGGUAGGAAAAUUUUGCAUUACUGGCAGAUUUGAAUGGGUCAGGAGUGAUAAAGAAAAACUGUCUAAUUUUUUCAUCAUUGCACUCAAGUCAUUUAUAAUUAAUGCUAACUAUAGUUUACAUGUCUUGUUUAGCUUCCGUCACUUCCGUACUAAUUUAAUUAGCUAAUCAUAAUUUGAAGUAACAAUAAUAGUUUCACACUAAAACGCAUUGCGCUGUCCCCUUCAUUAGCAAGAGCAAUCAGGUAUUCCGUGACUUAAAUUCGAUGCUACCAAUGCUUAUUUUUGAAUGUAAAAUGAUAACUGCUAUCGAUUAUCCCAAAAGAACAAGUUGCUAAAAAGUGUACUCGGCAAUUAAUUUGUACCAGGUCCUAUGCAUCAGUGACCAUCCUAAAGGUGUGCAAUUGCAAAUCCAGACGAAGUUCCCACCUUUUUUGGUGCAGUUUGAAGAUUACAAAGCGCACAUUGUAGCGUUCAUCUUGAGAUGAGGUAAUAAUUUUGAUUAUGUGCUGUGCUCGUCUUUACAAAAAUACCCUGAAAUGUCAAAUUACGGUUUAUUUUUCUAUCCCAUUUUGUAAAUAGUCCUAAAGCACAAAUCCCAAGUGCUGAUAAUUCAGAAACGACCCCAGUUGAAGCUCUUGAACCAUACAGUGCUUGUCCAUAUUCAGUUUAAGUAAUCGCCCAACUCGAAUGUUUUCCUAAAAAGCGUGAACCUUAAGCGCUUGGAUUUCUUGAAGCGUAAUGCGAACUCCCUAAAUAGUUCCGAAACUCACCAAUAAAUUAUUUAAUACCAGGUGAUAAUACCAUCAUUAAUAUAGUAAAUCGUUCCUUGGUCAAUAUUGGUAAUCCAGAGAUGCUUCAUUUUCACUUCUGUGUUAUAAAACCUCUGGUGAUGAGAUCAAAAUUAAGAGAUGUGUGAUGCGGCUUCACUUGAACUUUUGUGAUAAUUUCAAACAUCGGUGCUACUUAAUUAUCACUGAGUGUGUUGACUAAAUCAACUAACUUUUUAACGAAACAUGUUAGGACUAACUAGUAAAGAAAGAGUGUGAAAGGUAAAUUUUUCCUUGAAGUUUGCGUCCGGCAGUCGCUGCGGCAAUCAGUCGAUCUCACCGAAAAAAAACUUGGCUCAAAUUAUUCGUUUUGUUAUUACUGCUAUACUUAACUAUAAAACUAUUAUGAUAUAGAAUUUAAAAGAAAGUCAUUGGCCUUACGUUUGAAAUGGAGCUUAUUUUGACCGAAUCUAGAAAGACUGUAUUUGUUCUAUAAUAGUCUAUACUGUCAUAGUUUUGUCAUCAUGUGUUACUAAAUCUUACAAAAUCAAAAACGAAGCAAUGUAGAUAACAAAAGAGCGUUUAGGUUUCAAACCAUUGCUUCGUUUUGAUAAAGUCUCGAAAAAUUAUUAUGUCGUUGCUGAAAUAUAUGGAAAUGCGCAGUGAUCUUAUAACAACGAUUCGAACUUCAACAACUCUACUAGACUAUGAGUCUGGGGACUGAUCAGUGCACUUCGAACAUGAGCUCCGCCAUGUGCAGUUGCAUCAGGAGGUACAAAAAGUGGAGUGCCUGUGCAUCGUUGUACAAAAGAAGUGGUGGAAUUAGGCGGCAACUGGACAUUGGAUCUGGGAAUUAUUUUCCGAUACCGAAGGUUCUUAGCUACAGUGGUUCUGACAGAAUACGAAUCUGAAGUCGCUAAAACCCAAUAUCGUCACCCUAUCAUCCUAAUACACAAGACAAUGCUCAGCACUAACUCCAGCAGCGGAAACUUCAAACUGAUAUGCGUCAUGUUUCGGGUGCUGUAUAUCAUUAUUUAGCAAAUUAUGGUUUAAGUAAAAACUGUGAAUUAAAAUCGCAACAGUC